rnacentral:rRNA from 1 species
GACGAACGCUGGCGGCGUGCUUAACACAUGCAAGUCGAACGGAAAGGCCUCUUUCGGGGGGUACUCGAGUGGCGAACGGGUGAGUAACACGUGAGUAACCUGCCCUUGACUUUGGGAUAACUUCAGGAAACUGGGGCUAAUACCGGAUAGGAGCUCCUGCUGCAUGGUGGGGGUUGGAAAGUUUCGGCGGUUGGGGAUGGACUCGCGGCUUAUCAGCUUGUUGGUGGGGUAGUGGCUUUCCAAGGCUUUGACGGGUAGCCGGCCUGAGAGGGUGACCGGCCACAUUGGGACUGAGAUACGGCCCAGACUCCUACGGGAGGCAGCAGUGGGGAAUAUUGCACAAUGGGUGGAAGCCUGAUGCAGCAACGCCGUGUGCGGGAUGACGGCCUUCGGGUUGUAAACCGCUUUCGCUCAUGACGAAGCUUUGUGUGACGGUAGUGGGUAAAGAAGCACCGGCUAACUACGUG